rnacentral:rRNA from 1 species
UUCGACACACUAUCAUUAACUGAAUCCAUAGGUUAAUGAGGCGAACCGGGGGAACUGAAACAUCUAAGUACCCCGAGGAAAAGAAAUCAACCGAGAUUCCCCCAGUAGCGGCGAGCGAACGGGGAGCAGCCCAGAGCCUGAAUCAGUAUGUGUGUUAGUGGAAGCGUCUGGAAAGGCGCGCGAUACAGGGUGACAGCCCCGUACACAAAAAUGCACAUGCUGUGAGCUCGAUGAGUAGGGCGGGACACGUGGUAUCCUGUCUGAAUAUGGGGGGACCAUCCUCCAAGGCUAAAUACUCCUGACUGACCGAUAGUGAACCAGUACCGUGAGGGAAAGGCGAAAAGAACCCCGGCGAGGGGAGUGAAAAAGAACCUGAAACCGUGUACGUACAAGCAGUGGGAGCACGCUUAGGCGUGUGACUGCGUACCUUUUGUAUAAUGGGUCAGCGACUUAUAUUCUGUAGCAAGGUUAACCGAAUAGGGGAGCCGAAGGGAAACCGAGUCUUAACUGGGCGUUAAGUUGCAGGGUAUAGACCCGAAACCCGGUGAUCUAGCCAUGGGCAGGUUGAAGGUUGGGUAACACUAACUGGAGGACCGAACCGACUAAUGUUGAAAAAUUAGCGGAUGACUUGUGGCUGGGGGUGAAAGGCCAAUCAAACCGGGAGAUAGCUGGUUCUCCCCGAAAGCUAUUUAGGUAGCGCCUCGUGAAUUCAUCUCCGGGGGUAGAGCACUGUUUCGGCAAGGGGGUCAUCCCGACUUACCAACCCGAUGCAAACUGCGAAUACCGGAGAAUGUUAUCACGGGAGACACACGGCGGGUGCUAACGUCCGUCGUGAAGAGGGAAACAACCCAGACCGCCAGCUAAGGUCCCAAAGUCAUGGUUAAGUGGGAAACGAUGUGGGAAGGCCCAGACAGCCAGGAUGUUGGCUUAGAAGCAGCCAUCAUUUAAAGAAAGCGUAAUAGCUCACUGGUCGAGUCGGCCUGCGCGGAAGAUGUAACGGGGCUAAACCAUGCACCGAAGCUGCGGCAGCGACGCUGAUGCGUUGUUGGGUAGGGGAGCGUUCUGUAAGCCUGCGAAGGUGUGCUGUGAGGCAUGCUGGAGGUAUCAGAAGUGCGAAUGCUGACAUAAGUAACGAUAAAGCGGGUGAAAAGCCCGCUCGCCGGAAGACCAAGGGUUCCUGUCCAACGUUAAUCGGGGCAGGGUGAGUCGACCCCUAAGGCGAGGCCGAAAGGCGUAGUCGAUGGGAAACAGGUUAAUAUUCCUGUACUUGGUGUUACUGCGAAGGGGGGACGGAGAAGGCUAUGUUGGCCGGGCGACGGUUGUCCCGGUUUAAGCGUGUAGGCUGGUUUUCCAGGCAAAUCCGGAAAAUCAAGGCUGAGGCGUGAUGACGAGGCACUACGGUGCUGAAGCAACAAAUGCCCUGCUUCCAGGAAAAGCCUCUAAGCAUCAGGUAACAUCAAAUCGUACCCCAAACCGACACAGGUGGUCAGGUAGAGAAUACCAAGGCGCUUGAGAGAACUCGGGUGAAGGAACUAGGCAAAAUGGUGCCGUAACUUCGGGAGAAGGCACGCUGAUAUGUAGGUGAAGUCCCUCGCGGAUGGAGCUGAAAUCAGUCGAAGAUACCAGCUGGCUGCAACUGUUUAUUAAAAACACAGCACUGUGCAAACACGAAAGUGGACGUAUACGGUGUGACGCCUGCCCGGUGCCGGAAGGUUAAUUGAUGGGGUUAGCGCAAGCGAAGCUCUUGAUCGAAGCCCCGGUAAACGGCGGCCGUAACUAUAACGGUCCUAAGGUAGCGAAAUUCCUUGUCGGGUAAGUUCCGACCUGCACGAAUGGCGUAAUGAUGGCCAGGCUGUCUCCACCCGAGACUCAGUGAAAUUGAACUCGCUGUGAAGAUGCAGUGUACCCGCGGCAAGACGGAAAGACCCCGUGAACCUUUACUAUAGCUUGACACUGAACAUUGAGCCUUGAUGUGUAGGAUAGGUGGGAGGCUUUGAAGUGUGGACGCCAGUCUGCAUGGAGCCGACCUUGAAAUACCACCCUUUAAUGUUUGAUGUUCUAACGUUGACCCGUAAUCCGGGUUGCGGACAGUGUCUGGUGGGUAGUUUGACUGGGGCGGUCUCCUCCUAAAGAGUAACGGAGGAGCACGAAGGUUGGCUAAUCCUGGUCGGACAUCAGGAGGUUAGUGCAAUGGCAUAAGCCAGCUUGACUGCGAGCGUGACGGCGCGAGCAGGUGCGAAAGCAGGUCAUAGUGAUCCGGUGGUUCUGAAUGGAAGGGCCAUCGCUCAACGGAUAAAAGGUACUCCGGGGAUAACAGGCUGAUACCGCCCAAGAGUUCAUAUCGACGGCGGUGUUUGGCACCUCGAUGUCGGCUCAUCACAUCCUGGGGCUGAAGUAGGUCCCAAGGGUAUGGCUGUUCGCCAUUUAAAGUGGUACGCGAGCUGGGUUUAGAACGUCGUGAGACAGUUCGGUCCCUAUCUGCCGUGGGCGCUGGAGAACUGAGGGGGGCUGCUCCUAGUACGAGAGGACCGGAGUGGACGCAUCACUGGUGUUCGGGUUGUCAUGCCAAUGGCACUGCCCGGUAGCUAAAUGCGGAAGAGAUAAGUGCUGAAAGCAUCUAAGCACGAAACUUGCCCCGAGAUGAGUUCUCCCUGACUCCUUGAGAGUCCUGAAGGAACGUUGAAGACGACGACGUUGAUAGGCCGGGUGUGUAAGCGCAGCGAUGCGUUGAGCUAACCGGUACUAAUGAACCGUGAGGCUUAACCUUACAACGCCGAAG